AGAGGAAAAAUAGAGUACAACAUCAUUAUAGAUAACAUGAGUAAGAGUACAUCUCAGCGGCACAUGCUGGUACAAGUCCACCCGGACUGAAUCAAGAAAGGUAAAAUAUCUACGCAGCGGAAACAGAAGCUAUGGAGAACUCCUUCUUCAUAGGUGACUUGAGAGAAGCACGGUCCCUAGUCUUCCCAUCCAUUAUAGUUGAAGUCGUAGUCGAGCACCGAUUCGUGAAAAACCACCAUCUACCCGAGAAGCGGGUAGGCCAUGUCAACUGCCAAAAGCAGGAAAGCCAAGGAAACAAGGGAAAUAUACUAUAUGCAUGAUAAACCUAUAUAUGGUUGCAGGGGUUUAUGCAUACGGCAGCAGUAAGUCAAGGAAGCAAGCACAUAUCCUGAGGUCAGCACCUCAACAAGGUAGUCAGCACAAAACACCGGCCCUUCACCCAAGGGUCUAGUCCCAAGCACUCUAGGCGAUGUGAUAGCUCUCUCCCCUCACAUCUCAACAGCAAACGCCGGCCUAUCUCAUCACCAAAGAGAGGGAAGGUAGAAGCACAAGAAAAGUCUAGUCAAGAGUAGCGGUAGACACUAGCACUGCCCAUACCUCUGGACAUGGACUAUAGCUAUAGCUUUAAACACUCUGCAGAGGUUGUACAUCUGUAACCAUCCGGAUGGAGCCUGGACGGUAGCAAGUCGUCCAAACCCCACCUAACGGCCGGAGCCCUAGUAAGUGGAUAGCUCUCGCCCGACUCCUCGAGUCUGGAACUAUCUUCAUCUGCAGGGCACGCUGUCACUAGAGAAGACCUCAAGGCUGUGAAACCUAACCAUGCUAGGCUGCAGUCUUGUCAGAGCAGGCCAUCGCCUCGAACUCCUUACACGACCUCCUGUCCGCCUGCGGGAAGAGCGCUAUCCACUACUAGUCUUGGACCGAAUCCCGCCCAUACGUGAGCGAAACAGUAUGUACAUAAAUAGAUGCUAUGUCUGGUGGUAAACUGACUCGGUCCUUAAUCGGCUGAGAGUGAACACUCUCCUGAACAAGAACGUGCCAAAGCACCAACCAACACCUCAAGCAAGGUACCUGCCACAAGUACAGGGUAUGGAGAGAGUCUAGAAUGCUCUCUCCCGGCCUGGCACUCCUCAGUACCUACCCUGUCUCGCUCCCGCCAAGUACACAUCAAGGAAUAACACACCUAAAACACACGUGAGAGUGGUCAAGGAAUCCCAUUACCAAAACCAUGGCAUAUACCCAUCCAUAACUCAAAACCAUGUAUAUAGAUGAAAUAAUGAUGGACUAGCUAGGGGUCUGUAGAAGUAGGUAAAGCAAGGAAGCAGGAUAUAGCAAUUAUCAAGGCAUGGCUAAAACAUUGGCUAUGCAAUCCAUCAUCAAGCAAGCAUCAUAAAUAAAGCGCUAGCAACUAAGCAUGCAUAGGAUCUACAUGUUUGGGAGUGACAUGAUACCUUAUAUUUGUUUGUCGAAGUCCUUGCCAUUGAAAUCGAGGUCGAAGGGUCUUCUCGAUCGUCGCAGCUCGGGUCUUCAAAUGGGUCUACAACAUACACGAGAUGUGACACGAAAAUAAAUAACGAGCAAUAUAUCUAAUGCAAAAAUACCAAGAAGAGCAAAAUAGAAGAUCCAAAUAACUCCAAACUAGCUACAAACAGCAUAGGUUUGAUUUUAGAAAUUUAGUGGAAUUGGUUUCAUAAUUUUCUGAGCUAGUAUGAAUUAGUUAAGAAUUAAAUAGGAAGUAAAGCAGAUUAAACAAUUUAAAUAUAGAAAUUAAGGUGGGGACAUGUGUCAGCUCCUAGUCGUGCUGCAGGUCUCGCGGUUGGGAUCUUUGGUGGCCACGCACGCAUGUGGGUUGCGGUAUGGCAAGCUUGCGAGUGGGUGGGUGCACGCGCUAGCAAGGUGUUCGGGCAAAGGUCCCGAAAGGAAGCGAUGGAACAUAGAGCCAAAAAGGGAUGGCAAUGUAGCAGCGAAGACAAAGCGUGCGGUGGUAGCUCAAGGCUUGGCUUUCUAGCCUCGCCCAAACAACGGAUGGCGACAGCUUAAAAGUGGAAGCUUGGAAAUCGGCAGCAGCAAGGCGCGGUAGCAAAGCACAUGCGGUUGAUGGUCGCACGGCCACAAGAAGCCAACGAUCGUGGCCGUGGUGCAAGGCUAUAGCUUGGCAGCAGGGAAGCAACAUCACUUGCAACAAAUGGGGGCACAGCUCGAAGACCGGCUCACAAGCGACGGCGGGGCUGCUGCGUAGUGGUGCUACUCCUCGGUAUGAAGGCUCGCACACAGAGACAAGUAAGCCGGGAGCUUUGCUUACCUAGGGGCUGGACAGACCAGUUGGAGCAUUUCAUCAAGCACGUUGAAGACGAGGUGGAAGGCAGCCGGCUCGGUACAGGGGUAGCAUACUGGUACACGGCGAGCUCGCGGUUCAAGCAUCUCGCCGAUUUUUGAUAUAUGUUAUUGUGAUAUAUUUCAUAUAUCUUAUUUAUAGUUCUAUUUUUUAGAAAGGUAGGUCUCAUUUUAAAAUUUGGUACAGGGCCUUGCCGGCUCAGCCCUGGUCGUGGGUGAGGUGGAAGCCGGUGCGGGGAGACAUCGAAGCUGUGGCGAGGUGAGGCAGGGCCGGCUCGCGGUUCUCUGGGCGGCGACAGCACAUCUCCAAGCCUCCUCCUUCUGGUCCACGGACGGCGACGGGCGGCAGCUCGGGCGACGACGGCCAGGCGCACACGCGGCCGUGCGCAGGAGGAAGUCAGCGACGGGCGCGCAUGGGCGAGCAGCACACGCGGCCAGGGUCGAGCAGAGGCGUGCGGCGUAGCUG
rnacentral:lncRNA from 1 species